rnacentral:rRNA from 1 species
GAUGAACGCUGGCGGCGUGCCUAAUACAUGCAAGUCGAGCGAACAGAUGAGGAGCUUGCUCCUCUGACGUUAGCGGCGGACGGGUGAGUAACACGUGGAUAACCUACCUAUAAGACUGGGAUAACUUCGGGAAACCGGAGCUAAUACCGGAUAAUAUAUUGAACCGCAUGGUUCAAUAGUGAAAGACGGUUUUGCUGUCACUUAUAGAUGGAUCCGCGCCGCAUUAGCUAGUUGGUAAGGUAACGGCUUACCAAGGCAACGAUGCGUAGCCGACCUGAGAGGAUGAUCGGCCACACUGGAACUGAGACACGGUCCAGACUCCUACGGGAGGCAGCAGUAGGGAAUCUUCCGCAAUGGGCGAAAGCCUGACGGAGCAACGCCGCGUGAGUGAUGAAGGUCUUCGGAUCGUAAAACUCUGUUAUUAGGGAAGAACAAAUGUGUAAGUAACUAUGCCCGUCUUGACGGUACCUAAUCAGAAAGCCACGGCUAACUACGUG